GGCGGACGGGUGAGUAACGCGUGGGCAACCUGCCCUGUACCGGGGGACAACAGCCAGAAAUGGCUGCUAAUACCGCAUAAGCCUGCGGUGCCGCAUGGCACAGCAGGGAAAACCACGGUGGUACAGGAUGGGCCCGCGUCUGAUUAGUUAGUUGGCAGGGUAACGGCCUACCAAGACGAUGAUCAGUAGCCGGCUUGAGAGAGUGGACGGCCACAUUGGGACUGAGACACGGCCCAGACUCCUACGGGAGGCAGCAGUGAGGAAUAUUGGUCAAUGGCCGAGAGGCUGAACCAGCCAAGUCGCGUGAGGGAAGACGGCCCUACGGGUUGUAAACCUCUUUUGUCGGGGAGCAAAGCGAACCACGUGUGGUUCAUUGAGAGUACCCGAAGAAAAAGCAUCGGCUAACUCCGUGCCAGCAGCCGCGGUAAUACGGAGGAUGCGAGCGUUAUCCGGAUUUAUUGGGUUUAAAGGGUGCGCAGGCGGAGGUGCAAGUCAGCGGUCAAAUUGCGGGGCUCAACCCCGUACUGCCGUUGAAACUGCAUCCCUUGAGUGCGCGAGAAGUAUGCGGAAUGCGUGGUGUAGCGGUGAAAUGCAUAGAUAUCACGCAGAACUCCGAUUGCGAAGGCAGCAUACCGGCGCGCAACUGACGCUCAUGCACGAAAGCGUGGGUAUCGAACAGGAUUAGAUACCCUGGUAGUCCACGCAGUAAACGAUGAACACUAACUGUUCGGCCAGAAUGAUGGCUGAGUGGUACAGCGAAAGCGUUAAGUGUUCCACCUGGGGAGUACGCCGGCAACGGUGAAACUCAAAGGAAUUGACGGGGGCCCGCACAAGCGGAGGAACAUGUGGUUUAAUUCGAUGAUACGCGAGGAACCUUACCCGGGCUCAAACGACACAGGAAUACUUUUGAAAGGAGGUAGCCCUACGGGGUCUGUGUCGAGGUGCUGCAUGGUUGUCGUCAGCUCGUGCCGUGAGGUGUCGGCUUAAGUGCCAUAACGAGCGCAACCCCUAUCGCCAGUUACCAUCAAGUAAAGUUGGGGACUCUGGCGAGACUGCCGGCGCAAGCUGAGAGGAAGGCGGGGAUGACGUCAAAUCAGCACGGCCCUUACGUCCGGGGCGACACACGUGUUACAAUGGCAGGUACAGAGAGAAGCCAGGUGGUGACACCGAGCGGAACUCGAAAGCCUGUCUCAGUUCGGAUCGGAGUCUGCAACCCGACUCCGUGAAGCUGGAUUCGCUAGUAAUCGCGCAUCAGCCAUGGCGCGGUGAAUACGUUCCCGGGCCUUGCACUCACCGCCCGUCAAG
rnacentral:rRNA from 1 species